rnacentral:rRNA from 1 species
CCUACGGGAGGCAGCAGUGGGGAAUCUUGCGCAAUGGGCGAAAGCCUGACGCAGCAACGCCGCGUGCGGGAUGAAGGCCUUAGGGUUGUAAACCGCUUUCAGCAGGGAAGAAAAUGACUGUACCUGCAGAAGAAGGUGCGGCCAACUACGUGCCAGCAGCCGCGGUGACACGUAGGCACCAAGCGUUGUCCGGAUUUAUUGGGCGUAAAGAGCUCGUAGGCGGUUCAGUUAGUUGGGUGUGAAAACUCCGGGCUUAACCCGGAGCCGCCACCCAAUACUGCUGUGACUAGAGUUCGGUAGGGGAGCGGGGAAUUCCUAGUGUAGCGGUGAAAUGCGCAGAUAUUAGGAGGAACACCGGUGGCGAAGGCGCCGCUCUGGGCCGAAACUGACGCUGAGGAGCGAAAGCAUGGGUAGCAAACAGGAUUAGAUACCCUGGUAGUCCAUGCCGUAAACGUUGGGCACUAGGUGUGGGCUUCAUCCAACGAAGUCCGCGCCGUCGCUAACGCAUUAAGUGCCCCGCCUGGGGAGUACGGUCGCAAGCUAAAACUCAAAUGAAUUGACGG